rnacentral:misc_RNA from 1 species
GAUGAAGAACGUAGCAAAAUGCGAUAAGUAAUGUGAAUUGCAGAAUUCAGUGAAUCAUCGAAUCUUUGAACGCACAUUGCGCCCGCUGGUAUUCCGGCGGGCAUGCCUGUUCGAGCGUCAUUUCAACCCUCAAGCCCCCGGGUUUGGUGUUGGGGAUCGGCUCUGCCCUUCUGGGCGGUGCCGCCCCCGAAAUACAUUGGCGGUCUCGCUGCAGCCUCCAUUGCGUAGUAGCUAACACCUCGCAACUGGAACGCGGCGCGGCCAUGCCGUAAAACCCCAACUUCUGAAUGUUGACCUCGGAUCAGGUAGGAAUACCCGCUGAACUUAAGCAUAUCUAAGCGGAGGA